rnacentral:hammerhead_ribozyme from 1 species
AUCCAGCUAACGAGUCCCAAAUAGGGCGAAACGCGCAUCUUGGAU